CUCUGCCUGACUAUGUCUCUGCCUGGGAGGACAGAGAACUGCCCUCCCCAACUCGCUGCUCCCUUCUUGCCCAGGAUUUAUGCAGUCUGCAAAUAUACCACUUUCUGAGCUCCUGGGGUCUAGGAUGCCAACAGGUACAAGAGGAAUGGGCAUUGUUGCUUCUCAAGCUCUGGGCAAAGGAGAAAAAUCCCUGGUCACCUGUGCAGAACAGACGUGAGUGAGACUCUUACAAGGCCACCUGCCCAGCCCUGGUGGCUCCUAGUCCAGGACAUGGAAAAGGGGCUGCUGCCCAGAAAGCCAGGAGGGCGAGAAGACCUUGAGAAUGUCCAGAACACUGAGAACUGGAUUAGGACCUAGAGGCACUGGGCCCCUGGAGCCUCAGAAGGAUCAGAUCCAGAAAUGGAAUUGUGCUGUCUGCAUCCUCUCCCGGCCAGAUCAGUGCAGAAGUUUACUCUGUGAAUGACUCUCCUCUAUCUGCUGUCAAAAACUACCACCUACUUGAUGGCUUUAAACGGCAGAAAUUUAUUCUCCCACAGUUCUGGAGGUAAGAAGUCCAGAAUCAAGGCAUCGGCAGGGCCAUACUCCCUCUGAAGGUUCUGGGAAAGGGUCCUUCCCCGCUUCAUCCAAAGCGGACUCCUGACAUUCCUCACAGAUGGCCACAUCACUCCAAUCUCUGCCUCUAUCAUCACAUCGCCUUGUCCUCUGUAUGUGUUUGUCCCCAAACUCCCUCUGCCUCUCUCUUAAAAAGAUACACAUGAUUGCAUUUGGGGCUGCCCAGAUAAUCUAGGAUAAGCUCUUCUUUUCAAGAUCCUUAGCCUAAUCACAUUUUUUGCCAUAAAAGGGAACAUUCUCUCUUCUGUCACAUAAGGUGGCAUUCCUGUGUUCUGGGGAUUAGGAUGCAACCUGUCUCUCUGGGGCCACCUGUCAGCCCACCACACUGUUUUAUGAGUUUCUUAAACAAACAGGUGCCAUCUCUUGUGUAGAUCAAGGGAAGAGCCUCUGCCUGUCUCACAGGCUGGGCAAAACCGCCCAUAAUAGCAGCAUGACAUUUGAGGUGGCUUUUCGGCUUGUCACAGGAAUAUUCUCAAUAUGAAAAGAUAAGACCUUGGCGUUGGUGGGGAAAAUAAUGCUUCUGUCUUUCAGAGCAGGAGUGGCACAGAGCGGCCCUCUGUGCUUGAGGAGGGGAGGUAGUGGUUGUACUACAGAGGCUCUGUUGCUGGGUGGUGAGACUUCCCCAGAUGAGGGUGAGAUCAGGAUUCAAAAAAAAAAAAAAAAAAAGAGCAUGAAGGAGAGGACCUUAGGGGCCCAGCAGUUGGAUAGAAAC
rnacentral:lncRNA from 10 species